rnacentral:rRNA from 1 species
AUAUUGGACAAUGGGGGCAACCCUUAUCCAGCCAUGCCGCGUGAGAGAUGAAGGCCUUAGGGUUGUAAAGCUCUUUCAGUGGGGAAGAUAAUGAAGGUUCCCACUCAAGAAGCCCCGGCUAACUUCGUGCCAGCAGCCGCGGUAAUACGAAGGGGGCUAGCGUUGUUCGGAUUUACUGGGCGUAAGUCGCACGUAGGCGGAUUGGUCAGUUAGGGGUGAAAUCCCGGGGCUCAACUCCGGAACUGCCUUUCAUACUGCCAGUCUAGAGUCCGAGAGAGGUGAGUGGAACUCCUAGUGUAGAGGUGGAAUUCGUAGAUAUUAGGAAGAACACCAGUGGCGAAGGCGGCUCACUGGUUCGGUACUGACGCUGAGGUGCGAAAGCGUGGGGAGCAAACA